GACGAACGCUGGCGGCGUGCUUAACACAUGCAAGUCGAACGGAAAGGCCCUGCUUUUGUGGGGUGCUCGAGUGGCGAACGGGUGAGUAACACGUGAGUAACCUGCCCUUGACUUUGGGAUAACUUCAGGAAACUGGGGCUAAUACCGGAUAGGAGCUCCUGCUGCAUGGUGGGGUUGGAAAGUUUCGGCGGUUGGGGAUGGACUCGCGGCUUAUCAGCUUGUUGGUGGGGUAGUGGCUUACCACGGCUUUGACGGGUAGCCGGCCUGAGAGGGUGACCGGCCACAUUGGGACUGAGAUACGGACCAGACUCCUACGGGAGGCAGCAGUGGGGAAUAUUGCACAAUGGGCGGAAGCCUGAGGCAGCAACGCCGCGUGCGGGAUGACGGCCUUCGGGUUGUAAACCGCUUUCGCCUGUGACGAAGCGUGAGUGACGGUAAUGGGUAAAGAAGCACCGGCUAACUACGUG
rnacentral:rRNA from 1 species